rnacentral:rRNA from 1 species
ACGGGAGGCAGCAGUGGGGAAUAUUGGACAAUGGGGGAAACCCUGAUCCAGCGACGCCGCGUGAGUGAAGAAGUAUUUCGGUAUGUAAAGCUCUAUCAGCAGGGAAGAUAAUGACGGUACCUGACUAAGAAGCCCCGGCUAACUACGUGCCAGCAGCCGCGGUAAUACGUAGGGGGCAAGCGUUAUCCGGAUUUACUGGGUGUAAAGGGAGCGUAGACGGCUUUGUAAGUCUGAUGUGAAAGGCAGGGGCUCAACUCCUGGACUGCAUUGGAAACUACAGAGCUUGAGUGCCGGAGAGGUAAGCGGAAUUCCUAGUGUAGCGGUGAAAUGCGUAGAUAUUAGGAGGAACACCAGUGGCGAAGGCGGCUUACUGGACUGUAACUGACGUUGAGGCUCGAAAGCGUGGGGAGCAAACAGGAUUAGAUACCCUGGUA